UUGCCGCGUGUGUGAAGAAAGGUCUUCGGAUUCGUAAAGCACUUUCGACGGGGACGAUGAUGACGGUACCCGUAGAAGAAGCCCCGGCUAAACUUCGUGC
rnacentral:rRNA from 1 species